UACGGGGGGAGCAAGCGUUGUUCGGAUUUACUGGGCGUAAAGGGCGCGUAGGCGGCCAGCACAAGUCAGUUGUGAAAUCUCCGAGCUUAACUCGGAAAGGUCAACUGAUACUGUGCGGCUAGAGUGCGGAAGGGGCAACUGGAAUUCUUGGUGUAGCGGUGAAAUGCGCAGAUAUCAGGAGGAACACCGGUGGCGAAGGCAGGUCACUGGGCCGCAACUGACGCUGAGGAGCGAAAGCAUGGGGAGCGAACAGG
rnacentral:rRNA from 1 species